rnacentral:rRNA from 1 species
UACGGGGGGUGCAAGCGUUAAUCGGAAUUACUGGGCGUAAAGGGUGCGUAGGUGGUUUAUUAAGUUAUUUGUGAAAUCCCUGGGCUUAACCUGGGCAGGUCAGAUAAGACUGGUAGACUCGAGUAUGGGAGAGGGUAGUGGAAUUUCCGGUGUAGCGGUGAAAUGCGUAGAGAUCGGAAGGAACACCAGUGGCGAAGGCGGCUACCUGGCCUAAUACUGACACUGAGGCACGAAAGCGUGGGGAGCAAACAGG